rnacentral:rRNA from 1 species
AUUGAACGCUGGCGGCAUGCCUUACACAUGCAAGUCGAACGGCAGCACGGGAGCAAUCCUGGUGGCGAGUGGCGAACGGGUGAGUAAUAUAUCGGAACGUGCCCAGUCGUGGGGAUAACGUAGCGAAAGCUACGCUAAUACCGCAUACGAUCUAUGGAUGAAAGCGGGGGAUCGCAAGACCUCGCGCGAUUGGAGCGGCCGAUAUCAGAUUAGGUAGUUGGUGAGGUAAAGGCUCACCAAGCCGACGAUCUGUAGCUGGUCUGAGAGGACGACCAGCCACACUGGGACUGAGACACGGCCCAGACUCCUACGGGAGGCAGCAGUGGGGAAUUUUGGACAAUGGGCGCAAGCCUGAUCCAGCAAUGCCGCGUGCAGGAUGAAGGCCUUCGGGUUG